GACAGAGGGUGCAAACGUUGUUCGGAAUUACUGGGCGUAAAGGGCGCGUAGGCGGCCACCGCAAGUCGACUGUGAAAUCUCCGGGCUUAACUCGGAAAGGUCAGCCGAUACUGCGGGGCUAGAGUGCAGAAGGGGCAACUGGAAUUCUCGGUGUAGCGGUGAAAUGCGUAGAUAUCGAGAGGAACACCUGCGGCGAAGGCGGGUUGCUGGGCUGACACUGACGCUGAGGCGCGAAAGCUAGGGGAGCGAACGGG
rnacentral:rRNA from 1 species